rnacentral:rRNA from 1 species
GAUGAACGCUGGCGGUGUGCCUAAUACAUGCAAGUCGAGCGAACAGACGAGGAGCUUACUCCUCUGACGUUAGCGGCGGACGGGUGAGUAACACGUGGAUAACCUACCUAUAAGACUGGGAUAACUUCGGGAAACCGGAGCUAAUACCGGAUAACAUGUUGAACCGCAUGGUUCAACAGUGAAAGACGGUCUUGCUGUCACUUAUAGAUGGAUCCGCGUCGCAUUAGCUAGUUGGUAAGGUAACGGCUUACCAAGGCAACGAUGCGUAGCCGACCUGAGAGGGUGAUCGGCCACACUGGAACUGAGACACGGUCCAGACUCCUACGGGAGGCAGCAGUAGGGAAUCUUCCGCGAUGGGCGAAAGCCUGACGGAGCAACGCCGCGUGAGUGAAGAAGGUCUUCGGAUCGUAAAACUCUGUUAUUAGGGAAGAACAAAUGUGUAAGUAACUAUGCACGUCUUGACGGUACCUAAUCAGAAAGCCACGGCUAACUACGUG